CUGCUGUGUCGAAAUGAUCUGACUGUUGGUAAAGACUGUGUUUGCUACAAAUUUAGUUUCACGUCUGCUGCCGACUACCAAGCGUCUACCUGUAAUCAGUGAUAUUCACGUGAUUGGUAAGAGUCAAAGUCUUUCAGGAAAUGAAGCUCUACGAGUUGCACGUGUAACCGUCUGUCAUGGAUUUAUCUCUGGAUCCGACAGGGGCACGAGCCCAGAAGGGAACAAAAGAGAGAGGGGGAAAAAAACUACCCCACCUUUUGUGAUGUCCGGCCUGUGACUAAUGAGAAAGGUCCUGGAAAAUGGGAGAGGUGGCAGAGGACUGGAAGAUAGCCAAUGUCACGGCAGUCUUCAAAAAGGGAAAGAAGGAUGAUCUGGGAAAAUACAGACCAGCCAGCCUCAGCUCUGAACCCGGAAAGCUGACGGAACAACCUAUUCUAUAUGCCGUCUCCAGGCAACUGGAAGAGAAGAAGCAGACCUAGCUACUUUGAUGAUAUUAUGGGAUGACAGCCAGAACUGAAAAUAAGAAGAAAGAAGCCUAC
ensembl:lncRNA